rnacentral:rRNA from 1 species
GACGAACGCUGGCGGCGUGCCUAACACAUGCAAGUCGAACGGGGAGUUAUUUAUAACUCCUAGUGGCGAACGGGUGAGUAACGCGUAGACAACCUGCCUCUAAACUGGGGACAACACCGCGAAAGUGGUGCUAAUACCGAAUGUGGUAUCUUGAUCGCAUGAUUGAGAUAAGAAAGAUGGCCUCUACAUGUAAGCUAUCGAUUAGAGAUGGGUCUGCGUCUGAUUAGCUAGUUGGUGAGGUAACGGCUCACCAAGGCGACGAUCAGUAGCCGGUCUGAGAGGAUGAACGGCCACACUGGGACUGAGACACGGCCCAGACUCCUACGGGAGGCAGCAGUGGGGAAUCUUCCGCAAUGGACGAAAGUCUGACGGAGCAACGCCGCGUGAGUGAAGAAGGUUUUCGGAUCGUAAAGCUCUGUCUUCAAGGACGAAUGUAGAUAUUGUGAAUAAUGAUAUUUAAUGACGGUACUUGAGGAGGAAGCCACGGCUAACUACGUGCCAGCCGCCGCCGUAA